UGCCCAGCAACUCCUAUCCCUACCUCCUCGCGGUACUGGCCGGGGUACGAGUAACCUUAGGGAAGA
rfam:Aedes aegypti strain Liverpool supercont1.399 genomic scaffold, whole genome shotgun sequence.